GACGAACGCUGGCGGCGUGCUUAACACAUGCAAGUCGAACGGAAAGGCCCUGCUUUUGUGGGGUGCUCGAGUGGCGAACGGGUGAGUAACACGUGAGUAACCUGCCCUUGACUUUGGGAUAACUUCAGGAAACUGGGGCUAAUACCGGAUAGGAGCUCCUGCUGCAUGGUGGGGGUUGGAAAGUUUCGGCGGUUGUGGAUGGACUCGCGGCUUAUCAGCUUGUUGGUGGGGUAGUGGCUUACCAAGGCUUUGACGGGUAGCCGGCCUGAGAGGGUGACCGGCCACAUUGGGACUGAGAGACGGCCCAGACUCCUACGGGAGGCAGCAGUGGGGAAUAUUGCACAAUGGGCGGAAGCCUGAUGCAGCAGCGCCGCGUGCGGGAUGACGGCCUUCGGGUUGUAAACCGCUUUCGCAUGUGUCGAAGCGUGAGUGACGGUAAUGGGUAAAGAAGCACCGGCUAACUACGUG
rnacentral:rRNA from 1 species